CAGGGAUUGCCUUAGUAACGGCGAGUGAAGCGGCAAUAGCUCAAAUUUGAAAUCUGGCGCUUGCGUCCGAGUUGUAAUUUGUAGAGGAUGAUUUUGGUUAGGUACCUUUCGAGUUCCUUGGAACAGGACGCCUUAGAGGGUGAGAGCCCCGUACGAUUGGAUGCCGAGCCUCUGUAAAUCUCCUUCGACGAGUCGAGUAGUUUGGGAAUGCUGCUCUAAAUGGGAGGUAAAUUUCUUCUAAAGCUAAAUACCGGCCAGAGACCGAUAGCGCACAAGUAGAGUGAUCGAAAGAUGAAAAGCACUUUGAAAAGAGGGUUAAAUAGCACGUGAAAUUGUUGAAAGGGAAGGAUUUAUGACCAGACUUUUUCUAGGAGAAUCAUCCGGUGUUCUCACCGGUGCACUUCUUUUAGUUUAGGCCAGCAUCGACUUUCGGCGGUGGAUAAAAGCUUUAGGAAUGUGGCUUCUCUCGGGAAGUGUUAUAGCCUAUUGUAUAAUACACUGCUGGGGGUCGAGGUACGCGCUUCUGCAAGGAUGCUGGCGUAAUGGUUAUCAAUCACCCGUCUUGAAACACGGACCAAGGAGUCGAACAUUUGUGCGAGUGUUUGGGUGUUAAACCCUCACGCGUAAUGAAAGUGAACGGAGGUGAGAGCCCUUACGGGUGCAUCAUCGACCGAUCCUGAUGUUUUCGGAUGGAUUUGAGUAAGAGCAUAAAUGUUCGGACCCGAAAGAUGGUGAACUAUGCGUGGAUAGGGUGAAGCCAGAGGAAACUCUGGUGGAGGCUCGCAGCGGUUCUGACGUGCAAAUCGAUCGUCAAAUCUGCGCAUGGGG
rnacentral:rRNA from 1 species